CUCAGUUUGCCCUGUGCCAGAGACCCUGGGAGGAUUCAGACUUAAGGGCAUUACUGCUUAUCCUCCCGGCCACUAAAAACCCAUUGCAAAAGAGAAUCGUGUGCUCUUUCAUUGCCUUUGCUCUGUAGACUAAAGGAGCCGCCUGAGUGUUAAAGGAUAUCUACUGGUUGUAAGGUAGCAGAUUACCAGAGGAGUUGAUUCUAAAAAUGCCUCUCUAGCAGCUUAGGGAACACAACACAUUUUAAACAUUGGGGCAGUAAAACAGACUAGUGAAAGUUACCUAUGCAUCUUAGGGAACCUGGGCAGAUUUUGCUAAUUAUCCCAUGCCUUUCUCUCAGUCCUACAACCUGAAUUGCUAACAUUUCUGACCUGCGAAGGAAGGGGUGCAUCCAGGAGGGAAUGGAUGCGGGGUUGGGAGUGUUGCAUGGCCCAUACGGAGGCAAAUGUGAUUGGGGCUUUCCCUCAGUGCCAUUCAUCUACCGAUCACCCUAGAUACCCCUGAGGGCUGUCGGGAGGGGGCUCAAGAGAAAGGAACCUUAGGAAUCAUCUGAGUGUAGCCCAGACCGGAAUUCCGCAGUUGUUCCAAACUCCUUCCUCCACCUCCACGCAUCCGAGGCAGAUCGGGAUUCGGGACACUGUGUACUCACACCAAUUGCUCUCCAGGCCCAGACAGAAAAGUUGGAAGCGGCUUUGGCAGAACCCAACAUGCCUGCUCUGUAUUGAACGGGUGAUUGAGAGCUGCCUAGGCCGGGAAACCUCUCACCCGAGUCUUGAAGAGUGGCGGCUGCACUAAUUGCGUUUAAGUAGCCGUCGGGUGCCCACCUUACCCUCCAGAAAGAAAGAGAAAGAUGCACCUCAAACAGACAUGGGGUGCGUGCACUUACCUCGGUGUAGAAUCUCAGUAUGGGACCUCCAAUAUGUUACCGCUGUUGACCGGUGACGAGUUCUUGCUUCCCCAAUGUUGAAGAAUAACACCAAAGAAGCACGCCGAGGCAAGGUCAGAGUAGAAAUUAGAAGUUUAUUAAAGGACAGCAGAAAAGACUUCUCCCGGAGGAAGAAGGGGACCCAAGAGGUGGAAUCCCCAUCUAAUGCUUUUAAAAGAAAAUUUUCCUUUAUGAUUAGUGCUUUUCAUGUUUUUUAAGGAUUUUUUUCCUAUCCUCAAAAAUGUUCUAAUGAAAAUAUUCUACGUGCUAGUCUAAAAACUAUGAUUUAUUGUGACCAGCCUAAUACAACAUGAUCAAUCUUAGUCAGUUUUCUAUUGCUAUAGACUGAAUAAUUUAUAAAGAAAAUAGGCAUAUUUAGCUCACAGUCCUGGAAGUCCAAGAGUAUGACACUGGCAUCUGCUUGGCAUGUGCUCCUGCCAAUUCAAUGACACAGUAGAGGUCAAUAUAUGGUAAGACAGCACAGGCCAACCAGAGGGGGUUCACUUUUAUAACAAAACCACUCAGAUGAUAACUCAUCAAUUCAUGAAUUAAUUAAACCAGGAAGAGCCCUCAUGACUCUAUUGCCUCUUCAUUGUCCCACCUGGUCCCACCCCUUAGCACCUCACAACGAAAACUGAAUUCAACAUGAGAUUUGAUGGAGAAAUUGAAACCCUAGUAGAUCUCCCCCGAAACUUGGUUUAAAUGUCAAGACUGAUGACACAGCACACACAAUUAGAGGCUAUGAAAUGUUUUUUUUACUUAAAUAACUAGGCCUCCAGAGAUAGCAGAGUGUGCCUCCCAAGCUGAUCCAAAACAGCUUGAGCAAGCCAGAAAAGGAGACUGGCUCUGUUUUUCUUGUCAAUUUGGUGUUGGGGUCAGUGUAAUGAAUUCUCAUGCCUGGGUGAGGGCUUGUAUGGUUUGAAUCCCCCACCAAUGCCAAAAGAGAGAACACCUUGGCUUUCUUAUCAGAUGGCUUGCCCAGAUGUGGAGCACAAGCAAAAGAGAAAAAUGAGGGGCUAGGGAUGUGGCUCAAGCUUGCCUGGCAUGAGCGGGGCACUGGGUUCGAUCCUCAGCACCACAUAAAAAUAAAAAAUAAAAAUGUUGUGUCCACCGAAAACUAAAAAAUAAAUAUUAAAAAAAUUCUCUCUCUCUCUCUCUCUCUCUCUCUCUCUCUCUCUCUCUCUCUCUCUCUCUUUCUCUCCCCCUCCUCUCUUUAAAAGAGAGAGAGAGAGAGAAAUGAGGCUUUAAAAGCUGUCAAUAGCCAAACAUCAAAAAACGAGUCAGGCUUUUUAUUACAUGAUUUCACUUUUGUUGUAUAAAUACACUGCCCAUCUCUGGAUAUCCAGAUGACCUAACUGCAUUACCUUUGAAGUAAGGUUGAGACACACUCUUGAUAUUCAAUAUAUAUUAUGGGGUUUCUAAUCAGUGUAACAAAUCAUGAAAAAGAAGGAAGGAUUAAGGAUUGUCUAUUCUCCCACCAGUAUCAUGUUGUCAAUUUACUGUCACCUCACAAUAAGUUUCAAAUCUGUUAGAUUGCUAAGAGCCACAGCCAAGUAAUAUGAUGCAUGGCAUUUUUGGUUGAACGGUGAUGCCAGCAAGCCAUUGAGAUGAUAUGAUUAUGUUAAGAUUUGCAUUCAUGUGGAUAUUGGACUCCUGCUGUUCACCUCGGCCUGCUACGGGACUCCUGGAGAGUUCCCAUUGGUUGGGGAAGUGCGGUAGGAGGGAAUUCCGGAGGAGGAGGAGGAGGAGGAGGAGAGAAUUCCGGAGGAGGAACUUCCUCUUGGGAUCCGGGGAGUACUCCGCGUGGGUCGGUCGGUAUGGGGCAUUGGCGGCAGUUUCAAAAAUAAAGUUUGUUCCUGCUUAAGUGGCUCGUGAUUUUGUGCCCAGCCAGACUGCGGCAUUAGAUGAUAUCCUUUCUUCUUCAAGAUUGUCUUAGUUAUUCUUGGUUCUUUACAUCUCCAUUCACAUUUUGAAAUCUAAUUGCUAAUGUUCAUCAAAAUAUGAAUAAAUAAAAGAAUAACAGCGAGAUUGAGAUUUCAUUGAGAUAACAGAUCAAAGCAGACCCCAGUAGCACAGGCCCUAAUUCCAGCAAUUUGAGAGUCUGAAGCAGGAGGAUUGAAAGUUCAAGGCCAGCCUCAGGAACUUAGACUCUGUCUCAAAGUUUUAAAAUGUUUAAAAAGGGGUGGGAGCCGGGCUUGAUGGCUCACACCUGUAAUCCCAGCAGUUCAGGAGGCUGAGGCAAGAGGAUCACCACGUUCAACGCUAGCCUCAGCAAUUUAACAAGAUCCUAAGCAACUUAGCAAGAUCAUGUAUCAAAAUAAAAAAUAAAAAGGGCAGAGGAUGUGGCUCAAUGCUUAAGCAUCCCUGGGUUCAAUCCUGGGUACCAAAAAUAAUUUAAAAUAGAAAAGGAUGGAGAUGUAGUCAGUGUAAAGUGCCUCUGGGUACAAAAUAAAGGAAGGAAGGGAAAGAAAUGAUGAUUAAUUUGGGAAAGAAACUUCCAAUACAUGAACAUUGUACAUUCUUUAAUUUCACUGAGUACUUUGCAAGUUAUGCACAGAGCUCUUGUACAAUUUUGGUUAGAUUAUUCUUGGUUGUUGAUGAUUUUUUGAUGAUUUGUAAGUCUUAUCUUUUUAAGUUUAUUCUCUGACAGUAUGUUGCAAAUAUAUAGAAAUUCAAUUGACUUUUAUAUACUCAUCUUCCAUCUGGUAAUCUUGCAAAAUUCACUUAUUUAUUCUAAUAGUUUUUAUCUGUAGAUUCUUUUGGAUUUUCAAUAUAUAACUCAAGCCACCUGUGAAUUAUGGCAGCUUUAUUUCCUCCUUUUCUAUCCUUAACCCUUCUUUCUUUUUCAUGAUUUAUUACAUUGGCUUGACUCCCAGUUUAAUAUAUAUUGAAUAUUAAAAAAUGUUAGCAAGCAUAAUUGUCUCAUCCUUAUCUCAGAUGUAAAAACUUUUAACAUUUCUCCUUUAAAUAUAGUCAUUCCUUAGUAUCUAUGAGGGGGUUGGUUCCAAGACCCAGUGCAGAUACCAAAAUCUGAUGAUGCUCAAGUCCCUUAUAUAAAAUGGCAUGGUAUUUAUGUAUAACCUAUGCACAAUCCUGUAUACUUUUAAACAUCUCUAAAUUACUUAUAAUACCUGAUAUAAUACAAAUUCUAUCUAAAUAGUUGUUGUAUUAUAUUUUUUUAGAGAAUAAUGACAAGAAAACCCACCUGUAUAUAUUCAGUACAGACACAUUCUUUUUUCAAAUAUUUUCACACAGUGCUUGGCUGAAUUUGAGGAUGCAGAAGCCACAGAUAGAGACAACUACACAUGGUUUACUUAGUUCAUAUGCCUUAUCAGAUUCUUUCUGUUCCUUAUUUGAGAAAAGUUUUUGUAAUGAAUAGGUCUUGAAUUUUCCAAGUUUUUGUACAUUCAUUUAUAUGAUCAUUUUUCUUCCUAAUUAUUUUCAUGUGAAUUGCAUUAAUUGCUUUUUCAAUCUUAAACCUGCCUUAUGCUCUUGAAAUAAAACCAAUCCAGUCUUAAUGUGUUGUUUUUAUAUAUCAUUGGAUUUGACUUAGAAAUAUUUUGUUUAGGUUUAUAACGUCCGUAUUCACAAAUAAAAUCAGCCUUUCUCAUACUGUGGUUGUCAGGCUUUGGUACCUUAUGACUGUCCCUAAGCUAGAGGCUACCAUAGUUCAGUCAGAGUGGAUUCCCUCUCUCCGAGGGCUUGUCCAUUUCCAGUUCAUACUUAUUGCCAUGGCAGAGCCCCUUAGGAUUAAACCAAAAACCACUUUGGUGCUUUCCAGAGCCCCUUCUCCUUGUCAGGCCCUGAUUUCCAAUUUUUGUUCCCUUUAUCCUAUGAACAUGUCAAAUUUUCUGCUUUUUAGCCUGUUAGUUCUUGUCAUCAACAAUAGUAUUAUGGGGAAGGACAGCCCCAAAUGUCAAGCUCACCUAAGUAAGCUUCCCUUCUCACCCAAGUCUUGGCCCCAUAACUGUUCAUCACUUUGGUGGUUAUGCAAUACUUUCAAACAGAUUUUUUUUUAAAAAAAAAAUAUGUUUUGUCAAUCUUCUAGUUGUUCUGAGAAGGUGUGGUCUAAAUCAACUUCUUUUAUCAUUGUGUUGAAAGUUCCCCAAGGUUUACUUUUGAAAUACUGUCUUAAACUAUAGAUGUACAAUGGCAUAUUCAGAAAAAAUGGAAAAAAUAUACACAACUUUUUACCCCACUAAUAAACACUGCCAUCAGUCUGGGGUAUUUCUUCCUGGUCUUUUCUCAUGGGUACAUUUUUAUAUGGUUGCAUCCAUGGUUCUCAAAUAAGUUCACAUGCUGGGGUUUUUUUGAGGGGGUAGGGGGUGUUUUGUUUUUUUAACCCAUAACUUUAUUCCAAUCAGUAUUUUUCACCUACUUACUUCAUAUUGUAAAAAUCACUCCCUCACACCCCCUCCCCCAAAAAACCUUUAAAUUCUCUCCCAACCUCUCUCUUUUCUCUCUCUCUCUCUCUCUCUCUCUCUCUCUCUCUCUCUCUCUCUCUCUCUCUCUUUCCCUCCCUCAUUUUUUUUCAGUUUUCCCAAGAGAAAAAACUACAGCUACUUCUCGUACUCUAGUGAAACAGUAGCCUGUAAAAUGAAGCUGAUUGAUGGGUGGAAAAUGGAGUAGCCCUCUCUGCUGGUCCUCUUGAUCAUGACUCACAGUCUUGGCUAGCCAAGCUGUGCAUCCAAGAAACCAGGUAUGGGGGAGCAGGAAGGGGAGGUCUGACCAGAAUUAACAAUACCCC
rnacentral:lncRNA from 1 species